AUUGAACGCUGGCGGCAUGCCUUACACAUGCAAGUCGAACGGUAACAGGUUAAGCUGACGAGUGGCGAACGGGUGAGUAAUAUAUCGGAACGUGCCCAGUAGUGGGGGAUAGCCCGGCGAAAGCCGGAUUAAUACCGCAUACGACCUACGGGUGAAAGGGGGGGAUCGCAAGACCUCUCGCUAUUGGAGCGGCCGAUAUCAGAUUAGGUAGUUGGUGGGGUAAAGGCCUACCAAGCCUGCGAUCUGUAGUUGGUCUGAGAGGACGACCAGCCACACUGGGACUGAGACACGGCCCAGACUCCGACGGGAGGCAGCAGUGGGGAAGUUUGGACAAUGGGCGCAAGCCUGAUCCAGCAAUGCCGCGUGCAGGAAGAAGGCCUUCGGGUUGUAAACUGCUUUUGUCAGGGAAGAAAUCCUCUGGGUUAAUACCUCGGGGGGAUGACGGUACCUGAAGAAUAGGCACCGGCUAACUACGUGCCAGCCGCCGCCGCCGUAA
rnacentral:rRNA from 1 species